rnacentral:tRNA from 1 species
GCCUCCGUAGCUCAGGGGAUAGAGCAAUGGCCUUCUAAUCCAUUGGUCGCAGGUUCGAAUCCUGCCGGGGGCACCA